rnacentral:rRNA from 1 species
CACACAGUAAACGAUAAUCACUAGGUGUCGGUUUCUUAUCAAUGGAUUCGGUGCCGUAGCUAACGCGUUAAGUGAUUCGCCUGGGGAGUACGAUCGCAAGGUUGAAACUCAAAGGAAUUGACGGGGGCCCGCACAAGCGGAGGAACAUGUGGUUUAAUUCGAUGAUACGCGAGGAACCUUACCCGGGCUCGAACGGUGCAUGAAUAUAUGAGAGAUUGUAUAGUCUUCGGACAUGCAUCGAGGUGC